rnacentral:misc_RNA from 1 species
UCCGUGUUCACCACGGCAGUCUCUUUAGAGUGCCCAACUGAAUGCUGGCAACUAAAGACAAGGGUUGCGCUCGUUGCGGGACUUAACCCAACAUGUCACCACACGAGCUGACGACAGCCAUGCAGCACCUGUCACUUUGCUGUAUUGCUACAGAAACCGAAUCUCUCCGGCUGUCAAAGGAUGUCAAAUCCAGGUAAGGUUCUUCGCGUUGCUUCGAAUUAAACCACAUGAUCCACCGCUUGUGCGGGCCCCCGUCAAUUCCUUUGAGUUUUAGUCUUGCGACCGUACUUCCCAGGCGGGGUACUUAUUGCGUUAGCGCCGACUCGGCAGGGGUCAAGUCCCACCAAGUCUAGUACCCAUCGUUUACGGCGUGGACUAC